rnacentral:rRNA from 1 species
GUAAACGGCGGCCGUAACUAUAACGGUCCUAAGGUAGCGAAAUUCCUUGUCGGGUAAGUUCCGACCUGCACGAAUGGCGUAAUGAUGGCCAGGCUGUCUCCACCCGAGACUCAGUGAAAUUGAACUCGCUGUGAAGAUGCAGUGUACCCGCGGCAAGACGGAAAGACCCCGUGAACCUUUACUAUAGCUUGACACUGAACAUUGAGCCUUGAUGUGUAGGAUAGGUGGGAGGCUUUGAAGCGUGGACGCCAGUCUGCGUGGAGCCAACCUUGAAAUACCACCCUUUAAUGUUUGAUGUUCUAACGUUGGCCCCUGACCGGGGUUGCGGACAGUGUCUGGUGGGUAGUUUGACUGGGGCGGUCUCCUCCCAAAGCGUAACGGAGGAGCACGAAGGUUAGCUAAUCCUGGUCGGACAUCAGGAGGUUAGUGCAAUGGCAUAAGCUAGCUUGACUGCGAGCGUGACGGCGCGAGCAGGUGCGAAAGCAGGUCAUAGUGAUCCGGUGGUUCUGAAUGGAAGGGCCAUCGCUCAACGGAUAAAAGGUACUCCGGGGAUAACAGGCUGAUACCGCCCAAGAGUUCAUAUCGACGGCGGUGUUUGGCACCUCGAUGUCGGCUCAUCACAUCCUGGGGCUGAAGUAGGUCCCAAGGGUAUGGCUGUUCGCCAUUUAAAGUGGUACGCGAGCUGGGUUUAGAACGUCGUGAGACAGUUCGGUCCCUAUCUGCCGUGGGCGCUGGAGAAUUGAGGGGGGCUGCUCCUAGUACGAGAGGACCGGAGUGGACGCAUCACUGGUGUUCGGGUUGUCAUGCCAAUGGCACUGCCCGGUAGCUAAAUGCGGAAGAGAUAAGUGCUGAAAGCAUCUAAGCACGAAACUUGCCCCGAGAUGAGUUCUCCCUGAGACUU